AGUGAACGCUGGCGGUAGGCCUAACACAUGCAAGUCGAACGGCAGCACAGUAAGAGCUUGCUCUUACGGUUGGCGAGUGGCGGACGGGUGAGGAAUACAUCGGAAUCUACUUUUUCGUGGGUGAUAACGUAGGGCCACUUACGCUAAUACCUCAUACUACCUACGGGUGAAAUCAGGAGAUCUUCGCACCUUUCGCGUUUGUAUUAGCCGAUGUCGGAUUAGCUAGUUGGCUGGGUAAAGGCCCACCAAGGCGACGAUCCGUAGCUGGUCUGAGAGGAUGAUCAGCCACACUGGAACUGAGACACGGUCCAGACUCCUACGGGAGGCAGCAGUGGGGAAUAUUGGACAAUGGGCGCAAGCCUGAUCCAGCAAUACCGCGUGGGUGAAGAAGGCCUUCGGGUUGUAAAGCCCUUUUGUUGGGAAAGAAAAGAAGUAGGUGAAUACCUCGAUGUUCUGACGGUACCCAAAGAAUAAGCACCGGCUAACUUCGUG
rnacentral:rRNA from 1 species